rnacentral:rRNA from 1 species
UACGACUACAUAUCAGGCAUAUCAAUAAGCGGAGGAAAAGAAACUAACAAGGAUUCCCUUAGUAACGGCGAGUGAAGCGGGAAGAGCUCAAAUUUGAAAUCUUCAAGGUUCUACCUUGACGAAUUGUAGUUUAAAGAAGUGUUUUCUGUUAGAUGAGUAGCAAAAGUUCCUUGGAAUGGGACAUCAUAGAGGGUGAGAAUCCCGUAUUUGGUUAUUCAUUCUAGCUUUGUGAUACACUUUCAAAGAGUCGGAUUGUUUGGGAAUGCAGUCCAAAAUGGGUGGUAAAUUUCAUCUAAAGCUAAAUAUUGGCGAGAGACCGAUAGCGAACAAGUACCGUGAGGGAAAGAUGAAAAGGACUUUGAAAAGAGAGUUAAACAGUACGUGAAAUUGUCAAAAGGGAAGCGUUUGACACCAGUGUUGUUUUUCCGAAAAUCAAUUACGAAUGGCUUGAUUCUGUGUUGUAUUGACCUUAUCAGCUUUCUUCACUUUUUUCGAGUCUUUCUUAAUGCACUUUUCGGUUAACAAGUCAACAUCAAUUUCUUUUGUUGUAAAAGAGUAUUCGGAAGGUGGCUUUCUUUUCGGAGAAAGUGUUUAUAGCCCUAUACUUCUACAAUCGGAGAGAUUGAGGUCUGCAGCGUAGAUCCUUCGGGGUUAGAUACACUUUGUGCUAAGUUGUAGCCUUUCAUAGACAACUUGUUGACUAUGUUUAGUCAUGCGGCUUACUCGCUUAUGCUAUUUUACCUACGCUUAGGAUGUUGAGUAGCGACAUACGCAC